GGUGCAGCUUGCUCGAAAUUUGAUAUGCCACAAAUUGGAGAUUUGUUAAGCAAGCAUGCGGCACAGCUCAUCAAAGAAGAUCGUCUACCAGAAGCAAUUGAACUACAAAAGAAAGCUGGAUUUUAUUUGGAAGCCGCGCGUUUGCUGGGUAAACUGGCACAACGGGAAGCCGAAAAGGAUUCCAGCAUGCUACGCAUUAAAAAGCUCUAUAUUUUAGCUUCAUUAUUAUCCGAGGAACAUCUGAAAUCAUUGAGUACAGUAGAAUUGAGUUACAAAGUGGAUAGAAAUUCGAAUUGGAUACGAUGAGUCCAGAAGACGCACACGUCGUUGAACAUAUGUGGAUGCAGCGGAAGCUUAUCAUUUUAUGAUGUUGGCACAGCGUCAGUUACGAUUUGGUAUUACACGCAAUGCUGUCGCUACUGCAUUGCGCUUGUGCGAUUACGAUGAUAUUUUGCCAGCAGAAGAUGUAUAUAAUAUACUCGCGCUUUCCUGUUGUGCAGAUCGAUCAUUUGGUACAUGCGUCAAGGCUUUUACAAAGCUAGAAGGAAGUUUGGAGAGUAUACCGCGA